ACACUUACAUGGAAAUCAGCAAACUGCUUAGAAAAAAAAAAAUGUGAAAGGGUGGUUUUUGUUGGAGGACAGGGUUGCUUGCCAUUAAAAAUGGUCACUGUUCCAAGAAGCCUGUUUGGCUAAUGCCAGAGUCUUUAUCAGCAAAAUAAGAGAAGCACGCUGCGCCUCACACAUGUUUCUACACAUUUCUUUAAAAAGUCUGAGCAAUCUUUAAAACAGGAGUGAAGGGUAGAAGGCAACUGAUCAGUCAUGCUUGAAAUGAUUCUCCUGUAAUCUCCGUCACUUCUCUGACCACGCCUCCGGGUCCCUGCUGCGGCCAUGUGACAAAGGUAGGUUAUCUCCACCGGUGGCAAAGUGAACUACCAAUUGGAUUCAACCUAUUUGAGGAGACAAGGACAGACACGCACAGAGGGAAGACCAUGUGAAGAUACAAGGAGAAGGUUGCCAUGUACAAUCCAAUGAAAGAAGAGGCUUUGGAAGAAACUAACACAACAGACACUUUGGUCUCAGACUUCUAACCUCUAUAAUUGUGAAAAAAUAAAUUUUUGUUAUUUAAGCCA